UACGGAGGGUGCAAGCGUUGUCCGGAAUCACUGGGCGUAAAGGGCGCGUAGGCGGCUCAUGAAGGCUGUGGUGAAAGUCCGGGGCUCAACCUCGGAUCGGCCGUGGCGACUCGUGGGCUGGAGCACUGUAGAGGCGGGUGGAAUUCCGGGUGUAGCGGUGGAAUGCGUAGAGAUCCGGAAAAACACCAGUGGCGAAGGCGGCCCGCUGGGCAGUGGCUGACGCUGAGGCGCGACAGCGUGGGGAGCAAACAGG
rnacentral:rRNA from 1 species